GGGAAUUGACUCAAGUCUUCUUUCUACUGAAGCUUCAUAUAUGUGCCUAUAAAUAUUUCUUCUGGAUUCAGUUACUAAUCACACACUGCAAUCCAAACUCAGAGCUUACAGAGAAAACAAGAGAAAAGUUUCACUCUUUCUUCCUCAUGGCUCUAUUGGGUAGCAGUUUCUUGCCAAAGCAGACCAUGCUCCACAUGCCUAACAAAGUCCUUAAGCCAUUCGAAAGAAAAUCUUCUGUGAACAUAACAUAUUGUGAUAGAUCAAAGGAAAAGCCUCCCUCAGGAAGUGGCUCACAACACAACAAAAUUCUCAGAAUUCAUCAGAGCCAGAGGAGAGUUGAAUUUACACAGGAGUUAUUGUGCUCUGAUAAUAGAUCGAAUGCUUUUGAAGAUGAUAAGAAAACUCAAGGACUCGAUGCUUCCAUUUCUUUGAUGAUCCACUGACAAUCAUCUUCUAAUUCCCAAGUUUUUGUUGCCCUUUGCUUCAUCCGUAAAAGAAAGAAAAAAAAAAUGUAAUUCUUCUUCUCAUGCAUUCACCAAACUUCCCAUUUUUGUCUCUGGUGAGAAAUCAUUUUUGCAGUUAAGGCUGUAGAAAAUGCAAUAAACUUAUUAUUUGAAGUCUUCUUGUAGUCCAACUCAUGGUUCUCCUUUCCUGGACAGCAAAACGGAUCGGUCAAGGUGGAUUCGGAUGAUCCAUUUUUUUGU